rnacentral:tRNA from 1 species
AUUUAAAUAAUUUAAUUUAAAAAUAUUGAUUUGUGGAAUCAAAUAUGUGAUUUAUUCAUUUUAAAUA